rnacentral:miRNA from 1 species
UGGGAGAGGAGGGGGAGG